rnacentral:rRNA from 1 species
AGGACGAACGCUGGCGGCGUGCCUAAUACAUGCAAGUCGAGGGAGAUGAACUUACAGAUUUACUUCGGUGGCGACCGGCAGAAAGCGGCGGAACGAUGGCUGAGUAACCCUUGGGGAACCUGACCCACCAUCUGGGAUACCACUUGGAAACAGGUGCUAAUACCGAUGGAGAAAGCUAUCGCAUGAUCAGCUUUUAAAGGGCAUGGGUGGGUGUCUGAUUGGGAUGGCCCCGGGGUGCAGGACCUCCUUGCCUACGAAAAGGCUUUCAUGGGAGAUCAUGCUCAGCCAAGUUGAGACAGUGACCCGCCCCCUUGUCCCUGAGACGGCGCCCAUACUCCUUCUGGAGGAAUGGACACGGAAUCUACCCCACCGUGCCCCGGGCUGAAGGAACGUCCCCUGGAGAGUGAACAUCGUUUUCGGAUCGCAAAGCUCUG